rnacentral:rRNA from 1 species
CAGCCGCCGCGGUAAUACGAAGGGUGCAAGCGUUAAUCGGAAUUACUGGGCGUAAAGCGUGCGUAGGCGGCUUUUUAAGUCGGAUGUGAAAUCCCUGAGCUUAACUUAGGAAUUGCAUUCGAUACUGGGAAGCUAGAGUAUGGGAGAGGAUGGUAGAAUUCCAGGUGUAGCGGUGAAAUGCGUAGAGAUCUGGAGGAAUACCGAUGGCGAAGGCAGCCAUCUGGCCUAAUACUGACGCUGAGGUACGAAAGCAUGGGGAGCAAACAGGAUUAGAUACCCCUGUAGUCCCUGUCUCUUAUAC